AGCGAACGCUGGCGGCAGGCUUAACACAUGCAAGUCGAGCGGGCAUCUUCGGAUGUCAGCGGCAGACGGGUGAGUAACACGUGGGAACGUACCCUUCGGUUCGGAACAACUCUGGGAAACUGGAGCUAAUACCGGAUACGCCCUUAUGGGGAAAGGUUUACUGCCGAAGGAUCGGCCCGCGUCUGAUUAGCUAGUUGGUGGGGUAACGGCCUACCAAGGCGACGAUCAGUAGCUGGUCUGAGAGGAUGAUCAGCCACCCUGGGACUGAGACACGGCCCAGACUCCUACGGGAGGCAGCAGUGGGGAAUAUUGGACAAUGGGCGCAAGCCUGAUCCAGCCAUGCCGCGUGAGUGAUGAAGGCCUUAGGGUUGUAAAGCUCUUUUGUCCGGGACGAUAAUGACGGUACCGGAAGAAUAAGCCCCGGCUAACUUCGUG
rnacentral:rRNA from 1 species